rnacentral:rRNA from 1 species
AUUGAACGCUGGCGGCAGGCCUAACACAUGCAAGUCGAACGAGUGGCGGACGGGUGAGUAAUGUCUGGGAACCUGCCUGAUGGAGGGGGAUAACUACUGGAAACGGUACCUAAUCCCCCAUACCAUCAGAUGUGCCCAGCUGGGAUUAGCGAGUUGGUGGGGUAACGGCGCACCAAGGCGACGAUCCCUAGCUGGUCUGAGAGGAUGACCAGCCACACUGAAACUGUGACACGGUCCGAACUCCUACGGGAGGCAGCGGUGGGGAAUAUUGCACAAUGGGCGCAAGCCUGAUGCAGCAAUGCCGCGUGUGUGAAGAAGGCCUUCGGGUUGUAAGGCACUUUCAGCGAGGAGGCGUUACUCGCAGAAGAAGCACCGGCUAACUCCGUGCCAGCAGCCGCGGUAAUAC